rfam:Oryza barthii chromosome 3, whole genome shotgun sequence.
AAAAAGUCAAACCCUGAGUUUCCGUGUCCAACUUUAACGGUCCGUCUUAUAUAAAACUUUUUUAUAAUUCAUAUUUUCAUUGUUGUUAGAUGAUAAAACAUGAUUAAUAUUUUAUGCGUGACUUGUCUUUUUAAUUUUUUUAUAAUUUUUUAAAUAAAACGGAGGGUCAAACGUUGGGCACAGAAACAAGAGUUUGUCCUUUUU